AAUCAAUUUUACUUAAGAUUGAACCUAAGUUGAUUAACUUAGCAAAUAGAGAACCUGGACCCACAGCCCAGGGAAUGUUAUUUGGAGAGUCCUUUGUCAAGGACAUCGGGGCUUUUGUCAAAACUUUUACCACUUUAGAUAAGGCUCAGGCCAACCUUAAGAGAGUGUUUAACCCCAAGGUUUUGCACGGGCCGGGAGAUCUAGGAGCCGUCCACCCGGCCGAGUCUAUCGGGGCCCCUCCAGGGUCCAUAGAGGCUCCUUCGGAACGCCCCGCCCAUACCAGGAGUUCCGGCCGUCGCCCUUCUUUCCGUCCAGGGGACGCCCAUGGCCUUCUAGGGGAAGCCGCAUGCAAUCUACUUACAGGCGACCUUACGGUAAGUGCAAUGUCUCUCAUUCCUCCACAUCUACACAUAGGGGGCAGGCUCGCGCUGUUUGCGCAUGCAUGGGACGAGCUCACAAAAGACGCUUGGGUGUUACAGACUGUCAGAGGUUUCUAUCUCGACCUUAUAUCUACCCCAUUCCAAAUCCAUGUCCCAAGAGAACUGACACUGGCCCCAGACCAAACCAAACUCAUAACAAAGGAGAUUACAGAUCUCCAUACCAAACGGGCAAUCCAAGAGGUCCCAUACGAUACACCAGGUUUUACCAGCAACCUAUUUUUGGUAGCCAAAAAAGGCGGAGGUAUGCGGCCAGUCAUAAACUUAAAGGAACUCAAUGCGUUCCUCGCAUACCAACACUUCAAAAUGGAAGGCAUUCAUUGCCUCAGGGAUUUACUACAACAGGGAGAUUGGAUGGUCAAAUUUGACCUCAAGGACGCGUACCUCACCGUCCCUAUUGCGGAGGCACACUGGGACCUCUUGCAUUUCACAUGGCAAGGGCGACGCUGGAGAUUUACAUGUCUGCCCUUCGGUCUGUCGUCAGCGCCCUGGUGCUUCACGAAACUCAUGAAGCCUGUGGUAGCCUUUCUCAGAGCACGAGGAGUUCGUCUGAUCAUAUAUCUGGACGAUAUUUUAAUCAUGGCAUCCUCACAAGACCAAGUACUGCUCCACCUACAGUGGACCAUCACGUUACUCGAGACUCUGGGUUUUUUGAUAAAUUGGGAAAAAUCCAUAACCAAUCCAGUCCAAAAGAUAGAGUUCCUAGGAUUCCAGAUCGACGCAAUCUCACAAUUCCUACUCCUUCCGGAAACAAAAUUGAAGGCCAUCAAAAAAGAGAUCAGGCGCACAUUACGAGCUCAAUCUCUCUCUCUUUGACAACUAGCUCGAGUAUUAGGACUACUGGCUUCCUCGAUACAAGCCAUCUUCCCAGGGCCUCUACACUAUCGUGCCCUACAACGGCUAAAAGGUUCUCACCUCAGGUCCGGCCGUUCAUACGAAUCCGCACUAGUACUGGAUGUAGAAUCACGGGAGGAGCUGAGGUGGUGGCUAGACCAUAUGGAGGCGUGGAACGGCCGAGCAAUAUUCGGAACCAGCCCGGACCUGAUUAUAGAAUCGGAUGCAAGCCUCCAUGGCUGGGGCGCGCGUUGUGGCAACAUCUCCACCGGUGGCAGAUGGUCCAUGGAGGAAUCCACAAUGCACAUAAAUUGCCUGGAACUUCUGGCAGGAUCGUUCGCCAUCCGCAGUCUCUCCCCUACGGUAGGGAGAUGUUGUAUACUGCUCCGUAUGGACAACAUCUCGGCAGUCCGUUGUAUCAAUCAUCUAGGAGGCACCAAAUCCAAACGACUAGCAAACCUAGCGAAAGAAUUUUGGCAGUUUUGACUUCAGAAUGAGAUUGCGGUGACAGCGGAACACAUUCCGGGCUUGGACAACGUACAAGCGGACUGGAAUUCCAGAUAUCUGCGAGAUCCGGGAGACUGGCGUCUUCUCCGCUCUACCUUUUGCCAAAUAGACGAAUUGUGGGGACCACUGGACGUAGACCUUUUUGCAUCCAGACUGAACAGUCAUCUGCCUCGAUACUUCAGUUGGCGACCAGAUCCAACAGCCUCGGGGACGGAUGCUUUCCUGCAGACGUGGCCGAAGUCUCGGCAUUACGCAUUUCCCCCUUUCAAUCUCAUUUCCAGGACACUAUCAUACCUAUGCACACAGGACUGUUCACUAGUGAUAGUGGUUCCACUAUGGCACGCUCAGCCGUGGUUUCCUCGUCUACUAGAAAUGGCAAUCGACUCUCCACGAGUAAUACCAUCAAAACCAGACUUGCUAUUGGACCCAGAAGGGAAUCCGCACAACCUAAUCAAUCAGGGCCUGCUGCAACUCACGGUCUGGUUGAUUUCCGGAGUCCCUGGACAUUCACAGACAUUCCACAGACAGUUACAAGACUCAUGGACAACUCCUGGGCUCCAGGGACCAGAGCGGCCUAUAACUCUGCUUGGCGAGUGUGGGCUAGCUGGUGCAUGGAACGGUCAGUGGAUCCGGUUUCAGCACCUCUGAAAGAAG